rnacentral:rRNA from 1 species
CACGUAGGCGGCUUUGUAAGUCAGAGGUGAAAGCCUGGAGCUCAACUCCAGAACUGCCUUUGAGACUGCAUCGCUUGAAUCCAGGAGAGGUCAGUGGAAUUCCGAGUGUAGAGGUGAAAUUCGUAGAUAUUCGGAAGAACACCAGUGGCGAAGGCGACACACUGGCUCAUUACUGACGCUGAGGCUCGAAAGCGUGGGGAGCAAACA